CUUGAAUCCUGUGCCAACACAGUCCCAGAGUGAAAGGAAUGCCAGCAUUCUGCUUGGGAGGCAAACCAGUGCCCCACCCUGCCGGCGCAGGAUCGGAGGUCCCUCUGCCCAGCACCCCACCUUCACAGGAUCAGGAUGAGAGCUCUGGGGUCCAUCUGUGGAGAGCUGAGGUUCACUGCAGGCCAGGAUGGUGUGGGAGCGGCCCCAUUGGGAUGGAUCAUGAUGGUCUCAACACAAGGACAAGGAAGCCGGGGUGAAACGUAGAGGCCCAGGGACAGCUGCCAGGCUGCAGGACACGGAAGUCAUGGUCAGCCCAGGAGGAGGGGAGGAGGAGAAGGUUUCCUCUUCCCUUCCUCCUUUCCGCUCAGUGGAUCCAUCGUCCAGUCACGACACCCCAACCAAACUCUGUCCUGCCCCAUACCUCUUAGAGCUCAGUUAUCCAGCAUGACUAGGGCAUGGGCUGCUU